rnacentral:lncRNA from 1 species
UAUUCACAGGUGCAAUCAUAGUGCACUACAGCCUCAAACUCCUAGCCUCAAGCAAUCCUCAUGCCUCAGCCUCCAGAGUAGCUGGGCCUACAGGUACUUAACACCUCAUCUGGCAUCCCCCAGUCAGAUAUUUGGAUGAGACCCCUGCCUUGGCUAACACCUUGAUGAAAACCUGUGGAAGGUUCUAAGGCAGGACCCUCAGCGCAGCCACUUCUCCAGGCACUCGGCAGAGAGAACGCGCGUAGGCGUUGCCCUGGCAACGCCGGGAUGCCCAGCAACAAGUCCGCGGCGUGUAUCACGUGCUCGGCGCGGACCAAUCCGAGGGCCCGCCGGGAAGCAGGAGCAAUAGCAAAAAUUGGGAAUGGGAAGAAACAGGUACCAGCCAGGACACCUGAACGAACUUGGAGCUCAGGAACCCAGGAGGGGAUUGGAGAGAGUGGGGAGACUCCAUGGUCCACAAUGAAUGCUCCUUCCCCAUCCGAAAAAAUCCCCUAGCCCAGUUUUUGGGCAGAUGCCAGACUUUUAUUCUGAAGCGUGGGCCACAACCUAUGAGGUAAUCUUUGGAGCUUCAUUCUGAGGCGGAAUCCCAUUGGCCAGUUGGGGAAGCCCCUCCCAGGAUUCCUGGCGCUCCGCCUUCCCUGAAGCCUAUAAAAGCGCAGGUCCCCGCCUCGGCAGCCACGGGACACCUGCAUCUGCCAACAAGACUGGAAGCAGAAAGGGACAGAGACGGCGAAGUUUGACGGUCUGGAAAGCAGAGACCAGCAGGGCUGACUGCUUGGGAGCACCAAAUAUCCGGACAGCGCCUCUCGGGAGGUCCGAGAAGAGAACCGCGAUCUGUUUCAGCACCGGGGCUCAGGACAGUUCCCAGCGGGCUCCGUUUCGUCUCCAGAACCCUGGACAGCUCCUCCAGCCUCCCAAAGUGCUAGGAUUACAGGCGUGAGUCACUGCGCCUGGCCCAAGUCCGGAAUUUUCAACAGGACAUGGGUGUUACUGUGCCCAUGUGACAUUUGGGGAACCCAAGGCCCUGAGAAAGGCAGAAAAAUAACCCACGCAGGGACUCUCAGCCCACAAGUGAAGCUGAGAACCGGGAAUGGAAAACAGGGAGGCAGCACAGAGGCAGGAAACUCAGGUGUCAUAGCUUGGCUCAGCUUGGAAUGCACUCCCUCCACCUCCAACCAGAGCUCCCCACAACUGACCCUGCCUUCUUCUGCAAGCUCCAUUUCAUCAAGGGAAACGAUCCUUAUUGCCUCACCAUUUCCCACGUGAAGUCUGUAUUGACAUUCUCAUAGACCUGGGAUAUUGUGUCUGCAGCACAUAGUCCAAUUAUUUUCAUGUUAUCUACUGACAGGUCUAUUUGUCUCCCUGUUACACUGUGAGCUCCGUGAGGGCAGAAACAAUGUUAGUAUUUUCACUGCUGUGUCCCCAGCGCCUGGUCCGGGGCCCGGCACACAGCAGGCAUAUAAUAAGCAUGUGUUGAAUCAAUAAAGGCAUCAAAGAAUAAACCAAUACAUCAAUCAAUAAAUGAAUGAAUGGCCUCAGCACACACAGGAAGAUCCUUCUUCUAGGUCUCCCCCAGAGAGAUACUGGAGGGCAAUGGUUGCUGGAGGUGUUUAUUGGGGAAGCAUAAUUGAAUUUGUGGACACUUAAGGGCCGGCCAGCCAACUCACAGCCCCAAGAGAGAGAGCCAGGCUCAUUUAAUUAGCAAUUACAAGGCACUGAUUCCUCAUUAGCUCUGGCAACCCUCGUCUCCCUCCUCAGCCCCAGACAAAUGAAAUCUUUCUCUCUCUCCCAGGAGUACUGCCUCAGUGGGUCCAUUAACAAGCAGAGAAAAUGAGAUUAGAAGACACCUAAAUGCCAGAGGCACUUUAUGAAUGGGCUGAGCAGAGGGAGGUUCAAUGUCUGGGUUAGGUCUAAUUGUGGGAGGUUUCCUGGUCUAUUUAGAAUUGCCCCCUGGGAAUGCAAGGUCUUUCAGAAAGGAAAAGGCACACAGAUAUUGCCUUCUGGGGUCCUCAAUGGAGGAGGACAUUCUGCUAUGGGUGUCUCCCAGUCACCCCAAAUUAAUCAUUUCAAAGUGAACACUCAAUCUGCCCAGCCCCUAGCUUCCUCCCCUGACAUGCCCAUGAAUAUGACAGUCCCUCUACAUGCCCAAGAUCCUCCCCUCCUCAUCCACUCCCCAUGAUCCCCAAGAUGAGUCACUGUGCUCAAAUCCAUCCUCUCUCCUCCAGCCCUCUGCCUCCAUGACCUCCCUCCAGCCCUCUGCCUCCAUGACCUCCGCCUCCCUGCAUGUCCGGAUCUCCUCACUGUCUCCCCUCUGAGCAUACACACACAUACAGCCUGUUCAUUCUCUACAUGCAGCGAGGGGACUUUCCAGAACACACAUCUGACCAAGUUCCACUCCUGCCUGUCACCCUUCCAAGAGCCCCACUGACUGCAGAAUAACGUUCAAAUAUCCGGUUGGGCGUGGUGGCUCAUGCCUGCAGUCCCAGCACUUUGGGAGGCCAAGGUGGGUGGAUCACUUGCACAGGACCACAGGCGUGUGCCACCACACCCAGCUAAUUUUUAUAUUUUUGGUAGAGACGGAGUUUCACCAUGUUGGCCAGGCUGACCUCAAGUGAUCCACCCGCCUCAACCUCCCAAAGUGCUGGGAUUACAGGCAUGAGUCACUGCACCGGUCUAAUUUUUUCAGAGUCUCACUCUUGCCCAGGCUGGAGUGCAGUAGCAUGAUCUCGGUUCACUGCAACCUCUGCCUCCUGGUUUCAAGCGAUUCUCUUGGCUCAGCCUCCUGAGCAGCUGGGAUUACAGGCACGUGCCACCACACUUAGCUAAUUUUUGUAUUUUUAGUAGAGAUGGGGGUCUCACCAUGCUGGCACAGUUGGUCUUGAACUCCUGACCUCAAGUGAUCCACCCACCUCGGCUUCCCAAAGUGCUGGGAUUACAGACGUGAGCCACCGCGCCCGGCCAGCCUUUAUUGAUUCUUUUUAAAGCCACACUAACCUUUUAUUUUCCCCCAAAGACCCCUGGGAGCCCUCAGUUUUUCCUGGCAGUUUCAUCUUUGUACCCCUGACCUCCCCACACACACGCCUAGCUCAGUGCUGGCAUCCAAUAUUCACUUUGGGUAUAAAUGCUUGUGCCUGAGCCUAUCACCUUCAUCACACAGAAAAUCCUGGAGGCCACACACCCCUGUAAAGACGAGCCAUUACCCACAGAGGUCCAACCAACUUACCACCCUCUCCCAGCCACCCCCAAGGACCCAGCUUGCAGCUGCCUGCUCAAUGGCUUUAGAAACUAAAAAAGGUGAAUGAGUUUCCAUCACUGCCCUCCUGGGCUUUGCCGUUAUGGCUGGUUAACUUGACAGAAGAACACAUUAUACUUCAUUUUUUGCUGUUGUCUUGUUGGAAAAAAAAGUGACAGCUGGGUGCAGUGGUGCACACUGUAGUCACAGCUACUCAGGAGAAUUGCUUGAGCACAGGAAUUGGAGGCUACACUGAGCAAUGAUCGCCUCACUGCACUCCAGCCUGAACGACAGAGCAAGACCCUCUUAAAAAAUACGUGAGAGAGGGUGCGUAUGAUGGCUCAUGCCUGUAAUCCCAGCAGUUUG